UGGAAGCAGAAAAAGAGAGGGUAUAGGAAAUGUUUUACCUACCUUGCUGCUAUUAAAUAAACCACUCCUGUUACCCAAGCUGUUUUGGACUUGGAAACAUACAUUAUUACUAUCUGUUAUUUACUGACGAUGUGAUCAGAGCUGCACAAGUCACAAGGCGAUACAAUCCCAGCUCUGAAUACCUUAGAAAAUUAAAUGAGAGGCAAAGAAGACAGGGUGCACUGAGAACCCCAGAAGAAAGGGAUCAUUUGAGUGGCUUCCUCUCCCUGGUGAUGUGGAUGCCAGCUGCUUUGGGAUGGGGAAGAGGAGGGGAAAGAAAAUGCCUUCAUAAAGGACAUUGGUCUACAUGUGCAAUACUCAGCAAUUAGAAUCCCCAUGUGUGUGAAUAUGGGCUAACACAUCAGCACAUUUCUAUUUUGAAAUGAAGAG